UACGUAGGUGGCAAGCGUUGUCCGGAUUUACUGGGCGUAAAGGGCGCGCAGGCGGCUUUGUUUGUCAGGCGUGAAAGCCCCGGGCUUAACCUGGGAACUGCGUUUGAUACGGCAGGGCUAGAGUUCGGGAGAGGAGAGUGGAAUUCCCAGUGUAGAGGUGAAAUUCGUAGAUAUCGGGAGGAAUACCAGUGGCGAAGGCGGCGACCUGGGCCAAUACUGACGCUGAGGUGCGAAAGCGUGGGGAGCAAACAGG
rnacentral:rRNA from 1 species